GGCGAGCCACACGAACGUUAUUCGGAAUUACUGGGCUUAAAGGGUGCGUAGGCGGUGCGGAAAGUUGGGUGUGAAAUCCCUCGGCUCAACCGAGGAACUGCGCCCAAAACUACCGUACUUGAGGAAGAUAGAGGUGAGCGGAACUUACAGUGGAGCGGUGAAAUGCGUUGAUAUUGUAAGGAACACCCGUGGCGAAAGCGGCUCACUGGGUCUUUUCUGACGCUGAUGCACGAAAGCUAGGGGAGCAAACGGG
rnacentral:rRNA from 1 species